rnacentral:rRNA from 1 species
AAAUUCAGUGAUCCUAUGCUGCCGAGAAAAGCCUCUAGUGAGUUCAUACACGGCCCGUACCCCAGACCGACACAGGUGAUCAGGUAGAGAAUACCAAGGCGAUCGAGAGAACUGUGGUUAAGGAACUCGGCAAAAUGCCCCCGUAACUUCGGGAGAAGGGGGACCAUGCCCGGUGAACAUCUUCACGGUGGGAGCUGGGUGUGGUCGCAGAGACCAGAGAGAAGCGACUGUUUACUAAAAACACAGGUCCAUGCGAAGACGUAAGUCGAUGUAUACGGACUGACGCCUGCCCGGUGCUGGAAGGUUAAGAGGACCGGUUAGCCGUAAGGCGAAGCUGAGAAUUUAAGCCCCAGUAAACGGCGGUGGUAACUAUAACCAUCCUAAGGUAGCGAAAUUCCUUGUCGGGUAAGUUCCGACCUGCACGAAUGGCGUAACGACUUCUCUGCUGUCUCGACCACAGACUCGGCGAAAUUGCACUACGAGUAAAGAUGCUCGUUACGCGCGGCAGGACGAAAAGACCCCGGGACCUUUACUAUAGCUUGGUAUUGGCGUUCGAUUCGGUUUGUGUAGGAUAGGUGGGAGACUGUGAAGCAUGCACGCCAGUGUGUGUGGAGUCGUUGUUGAAAUACCACUCUGAUCGUAUUGGACGUCUAACCUCGGCCCAUGAUCUGGGUUAGGGACAGUGCCUGGUGGGUAGUUUAACUGGGGCGGUUGCCUCCUAAAGAGUAACGGAGGCGCCCAAAGGUUCCCUCAGCCUGGAUGGCAAUCAGGUGUUGAGUGCAAGUGCACAAGGGAGCUUGACUGUGAGACUGACACGUCGAGCAGGGACGAAAGUCGGGACUAGUGAUCCGGCACCGGCAAGUGGAAGCGGUGUCGCUCAACGGAUAAAAGGUACCCCGGGGAUAACAGGCUGAUCUUCCCCAAGAGUCCAUAUCGACGGGAUGGUUUGGCACCUCGAUGUCGGCUCGUCGCAUCCUGGGGCUGGAGUAGGUCCCAAGGGUUGGGCUGUUCGCCCAUUAAAGCGGCACGCGAGCUGGGUUUAGAACGUCGUGAGACAGUUCGGUCUCUAUCCGCCGCGCGCGUAAGAAACUUGAGGAAGGCUGUCCCUAGUACGAGAGGACCGGGACGGACGAACCUCUGGUGUGCCAGUUGUUCCACCAGGAGCAUGGCUGGUCAGCUACGUUCGGAAGGGAUAACCGCUGAAAGCAUCUAAGCGGGAAGCCUGUUCCAAGAUGAGGUUUCUCACUACCUUGCGUGGUUAAGGCCCCCUACAGACCAUGGGGUUGAUAGGCCGGAACUGGAAGCGCAGCAAUGCGUGGAGGUGACCGGUACUAAUAGGCCGAGGGCUUG